AAACCACGUACCACGCAAGUUAACCCCCGUGGUGCAUAUCACCACGAUCGAGAAGAACCACGAAACGUGGGCAUAUUCACAUCAAAUCGUGGUACAACUUUCAAAAUGUGUGUAAAAAUCACUGAAGAGCUUUAUCCUCGAAAAAUUAACCCAUGAAAUAUGGUACUUGUGGUACUAUUCACCUCGUAUGAUCACAAGCUCUGGAAAUCAACCAUGUUCGUGGUGCAUUAGCUCACGCGUGAACCUACGUGGUAUUUGUGACGUAAGAAUUUCUAUUGCCUCAAAAAUUUAACCCACAAUCAGUGGUGCAUAUGCCCAUGUGUGGUUAAACGAGGUACUAUAGAUCUGUAAGUUAUAUAGACCUCAAAAAUUUAACCCACACUUGGGGUGCAUUUGCUCACACGAUGGUUUUACGUGAUACUUCUCAUUUUUAUUAUCAUCUUUUGCAAAGAAAAUCAACCCCACUUCGUGGUGCAUUUGUCCACGAUCGUGGUACAAGAGUGUGAACUUAAUUUUUUUUCACUUCAUUGUACCACAUCGCUAGUCACAGUAGGUACAAACGCAGAAAAUCAACCCCUAUUCGCGGUGCCAUUCGCCACGAUCGUGGUGAAAAUAUGUAUACAUAGUAAUUGUUAGAGAAAUAUUUUUAAUUAUUUUUAUAAUUAAUGAUUUUAUAAUUAUUGAAUAAUAAAUUACAAACUUUUAAUAUUUAUUUGGUUUAAUUAAUUUUUUUUAAUAUUAUUUUUAUAUAAUUGUUUAUUGCGAUUUUAUUAUUAUACUUUCGUUUGAUAUUAAAUUUUGUUAAUUUUUUUUACAACGGGUCUGUAAUAUUUAAACUGUCCCUUUUUUGGUGUAAUUUAUCCAAAUUUCUUUAAUUAAUGAUUAAUUAUUUAUAGGCUUUGAUUAAUUAUUUAUAGAAAUUUAAAUGAAAAAAUGCACCCAUGAUGACACACUUUUCCAAGAAAAAUGUUUUUAAGAAACAUGUGGUCCGUGAUCCGCAGUGGAAAAUUUUGUGCAAGAAAUAUUUUUAUGAUAUGCAAUAAAAUGUUUGUUUGCAUGGGUCCCUUUUUUCCUCGUGCGUCCUCACUCUAAUACCGUCCAGAGUUCGGUCUAUGGUAUUCAAAGUUUCUCACUCAUCUUUUAGUUUUCUUGAGAUCGUUGGAGUGGUAAGAAUGAGAGGAAGACCAUAGUUUUAUAAAUUAUGUGAUCUAAAAUUAAUUACAAAAAAUUAAGUGGUACUACGCAUCUGUAGACAAAUAGAAGCGCCCCAUUUUUUUUUAAACUCCAUCGAAUAGUACCUUGCAUCUCUUUUGAAGACGACCUCUCACUCUCGUCCUUUCCGAUUCAGAAAUUAGCAGUUUCUUGGGCAUUUAGUCGGCAUCCAAAUGGACGUGUGACCAAGCCAGCGAAGUCUCAUCGAUGCCGAGAUGUCCGGUUCUCCGUAAAGGCACUUCAACUCCUUGAUUCGUCCUCAAACGGAACUCAUCAGUUAGUGCAUCGUUCACGGAGCCGUAAUGCCAAAAAACGAGGGAAUCUAUUCGAAUCAAAUGACCAGCACGCCAAAAGUUAAGCGAGUUCAAGAAACGUAAAGUUUAUUAGCUGUGAUUGUUUAUGCUGGAUGUCUUUAAGGAGGAGGUGACAUAGUUCGAGUUAUCCCAGAAGACAGAAGUCUCCACACUAACAGUCUUAAAGCAAGGAGAAGAUCUCUUGUGAGUAUUGUAUGUAUUGUAGUGGCAUUUUUUUUAUAAAUUAACUUAAGAAACGAGAAAUAUAUUGAUGGUAUUUUCAGAUAAAAAUUAAAAUCAAAAUAAAGAAUACCCAAGAUUACGUACUUAUAAUGUUUCAAGAAAAUUUCCUAAAUUUAAGGCCCAUUCUUAUGAUUUUAGGAGUUGAAUAUAUUUCAAGAUUUUCUAUUCUGAGGUAGAGUCAUAAUUAAAUUAUAAUCUGAAAUUUAUUGAUUUCACGUAAAAUAACGUAAGUUUUUGAUUUCUAUCUUAAUUUUGAAACGUUCUGUAUCGCAGAAUACCACCAACUAUCACGAUAAUUUAUUGUGAUUAACAUAAUAUUCAUUUGCAUUUGCGUCUGUUGUAAUAUCAUAGUACUUUACAAAAUAGACUUAAUAUUACUUUUUAUAAUAAUAAAAAAAUAUCUGUAUUUAUAACAAAUAAUAAUUUGUAAUAAUGAUAAUUUAUGUAUAUUUAUUGUACUGUUAUAUGUAUUGAAAUAAAAUAAAACAAAAA